ACGGAGGAUGCGAGAGUUAUCCGGAUUUAUUGGGUUUAAAGGGUGCGUAGGCGGAAAAAUAAGUCCGUGAAGAAAACUUUCAGCUUAACUGGAGGCUUGCCAUUGAUACUGUUAUUCUUGAGUAUGGUUAAGGUAGGCGGAAUGUGUAAUGUAGCGGUGAAAUGCUUAGAUAUUACACAGAACACCGAUUGCGAAGGCAGCUUACGGAGCUAUAACUGACGCUGAUGCACGAAAGCGUGGGGAGCGAACAG
rnacentral:rRNA from 1 species